rnacentral:tRNA from 1 species
GGAGGGGUGGCAGAGUGGUUGAUCGCGACGGUCUUGAAAACCGUUAAGGUGAGAACCUUCGGGGGUUCGAAUCCCUCCCCCUCCGCCA